rnacentral:SRP_RNA from 1 species
GCUGGGCAUGGUGGCGGGUGCCUGUAAUCCCAGCUACUCAGGAGGCUGAGGCGGGAGAAUUACUUGAACCCGGGAGGCAGAGGUUGCAGUGAGCCGAGAUCAUGCCACUGCACUCCAGCCUGGGUGACAGAGUGAGACUCCGCCUAAA